rnacentral:rRNA from 1 species
GGGGAAUAUUGCGCAAUGGGGGAAACCCUGACGCAGCGACGCCGUGUGAGGGAAGAAGGCUUUCGGGUCGUAAACCUCUGUCAGAAAGGAAGAACCUCCCGGAACCGAAUAGGCUCCGGGACUGACGGUACUUUCAAAGGAAGCACCGGCUAACUCCGUGCCAGCAGCCGCGGUAAUACGGAGGGUGCAAGCGUUAAUCGGAAUCACUGGGCGUAAAGCGCGCGUAGGCCGCUUUGUAAGUCGGACGUGAAAGCCCUCGGCUCAACCGGGGAACUGCGUUCGAUACUGCGAGGCUUGAGUCCUGGAGAGGGUGGCGGAAUUCCGGGUGUAGGAGUGAAAUCCGUAGAUAUCCGGAGGAACACCGGUGGCGAAGGCGGCCACCUGGACAGGUACUGACGCUGAGGCGCGAAAGCGUGGGGAGCAAAC